rnacentral:rRNA from 1 species
AUACCUACGGGAGGCAGCAGUAGGGAAUAUUGCUCAAUGGGGGAAACCCUGAAGCAGCAACGCCGCGUGAAGGAAGAAGGCUCUCGGGUUGUAAACUUCUUUUAUCAGGGACGAAGCAAGUGACGGUACCUGAUGAAUAAGCCACGGCUAACUACGUGCCAGCAGCCGCGGUAAUACGUAGGUGGCAAGCGUUAUCCGGAUUUACUGGGUGUAAAGGGCGUGUAGGCGGGAAAGCAAGUCAGAUGUGAAAACCAUGGG